GCAGUGGCUCAGUGGCAGAGCGUCUGCUUUGCAUGCAGAAGGUACCAGGUUCAAUCCCCGGCAUCUCCA